AUUUUUUUGAAUCGAUUUUGUGAGAGGCGAUUUAUCGAUUCAAUCGAUUUUCUAUUUAAAAAAAUCGUAAAAAUCGUUCAGACUUUCGCUCUGUCUAGAUUACUCUUUUAACGUCACGUCAAACCUACUUACGUUCAAACGCGGGUCCAGAAGGAAGUUAUUUAGCGUUUGGCACAAGAACAGCCUGCAGAAAGAGCCAUGCGGAGAGCACAGGAUGUGGCCAGGCGUAGCAGACAACUGCUCCGGCCACCAGGGCUAGAAUUUUUAAAUUUAUUCAAUGGAAAUCCUGCACAAGAACAGCCUGCAGAAAGAGCCAUGCGGAGAGCACAGGAUGUGGCCAGGCGUAGAAGACAACUGCUCCGGCCACCAGGGCUAGAAUUUUUAAAUUUAUUCAAUGGAAAUCCUGCCCUUGGAGUUGUCCGCAACUUUAAUCCUGGCCAUCCAAUCAACCGGCGUUCGGGCUGAUUUUAAUUUUUUUUUCUGACUUAUAAAUAAAAUAAAAAAUUUCUUCCAAAAAUCAA